rnacentral:rRNA from 1 species
UACGAAGGGGGCUAGCGUUGCUCGGAAUGACUGGGCGUAAAGGGCGCGUAGGCGGCUUGUAGAGUCGGAUGUGAAAUUCCUGGGCUUAACCUGGGGGCUGCAUUCGAUACCUACGGGCUUGAGUGCGGAAGAGGGUCGUGGAAUUCCCAGUGUAGAGGUGAAAUCCGUAGAUAUUAGGAGGAACACCGAUGGCGUAGGCAGAUAACUGGCUCAUUCCUGACACUAAGGCACGAAAGCGUGGGUAGCAAACGGG